UCCAGAGAGGCCUGGGUCACGGCAGCUAUGCCCUCACACAUCCUCUAGGCUUUAAUAGGAAUGACGAGGGAGCCUUCAUUCUUGCUGCGAACCUGGCAAUCCCAGGCAUCCUCUGGGCCCCCUGCCGUGGCCUCGACAGCGUACUCAUCUUUGGAGUCAGGAAAGUUUCCAAAAUACUUUUCCUGAAAAGGAGGCACAAUGGACAAAAGAUACGAACAGGUGGUUAAAAUUAAAAAACAAUUUGAAAAGGAAAUGGUCCGUAACUAUCUGGAAAGCGACUCCAUCUUGCUUACAGUAAGAAGAAAAGGAAUUUUAAAAGUAUUUAAAACUGUUACUACUCACUGAUGGUAGUUACUACACUCCUGGCUAGCUCAGCAUGAUGUGUAAACUUGUCAAAUCGCUACUUUGUACACCUGAAACUAAUGUAACAUUGUUAAUUACACAACAACAACAACAAAUUCUGCUCACCAAAUGUUUGCUAAUACCCUCUCUUGGUGAAGCUGUGGAAAAACAGUUGCUGUCAUAAUUGUUGGGGGUGCAAAAUGGUGCACUCUCUAGAGAGAAUAAUCUGGAAUUAACUAAUAAAAGCUACAUUCGAUUCA